rnacentral:rRNA from 1 species
UACAGAGGGUGCAAGCGUUAAUCGGAAUUACUGGGCGUAAAGCGCGCGUAGGUGGUUUGUUAAGUUGGAUGUGAAAUCCCCGGGCUCAACCUGGGAACUGCAUUCAAAACUGACUGACUAGAGUAUGGUAGAGGGUGGUGGAAUUUCCUGUGUAGCGGUGAAAUGCGUAGAUAUAGGAAGGAACACCAGUGGCGAAGGCGACCACCUGGACUAAUACUGACACUGAGGCGCGAAAGCGUGGGGAGCAAACAGG